GUGUCAGCAGCCGCGGUAAUACAGAGGGUGCUAGCGUUGUUCGGAAUUAUUGGGCGUAAAGCGCGUGUAGGCGGCCAGGCAAGUCGGGUGUGAAAGCCCUCAGCUUAACUGAGGAAGUGCGCCCGAAACUACUUGGCUUGAGUACCGGAGAGGGUGGCGGAAUUCCCGGUGUAGAGGUGAAAUUCGUAGAUAUCGGGAGGAACACCAGUGGCGAAGGCGGCCACCUGGACGGCUACUGACGCUGAGACGCGAAAGCGUGGGGAGCAAACAGGAUUAGAAACCCCCGUAGUCC
rnacentral:rRNA from 1 species